GUGGGGAAUAUUGCACAAUGGGCGAAAGCCUGAUGCAGCAACGCCGCGUGAGGGACGACGGCCUUCGGGUUGUAAACCUCUUUUAGUAGGGAAGAAGCGAAAGUGACGGUACCUGCAGAAAAAGCACCGGCUAACUACGUGCCAGCAGCCGCGGUAAUACGUAGGGUGCAAGCGUUAUCCGGAAUUAUUGGGCGUAAAGAGCUCGUAGGCGGUCUGUCGCGUCUGCUGUGAAAACUGGAGGCUCAACCUCCAGCCUGCAGUGGGUACGGGCAGACUAGAGUGCGGUAGGGGAGAUUGGAAGUCCUGGUGUAGCGGUGGAAUGCGCAGAUAUCAGGAGGAACACCGAUGGCGAAGGCAGAUCUCUGGGCCGUAACUGACGCUGAGGAGCGAAAGCGUGGGGAGCGAACAGGAUUAGAUACCCUGGUAGUCC
rnacentral:rRNA from 1 species